rnacentral:rRNA from 1 species
CCUACGGGACGCACCAGUGGGGAAUAUUGGACAAUGGGCGAAAGCCUGAUCCAGCAAUGCCGCGUGUGUGAAGAAGGUCUUCGGAUUGUAAAGCACUUUCGACGGGGACGAUGAUGACGGUACCCGUAGAAGAAGCCCCGGCUAACUUCGUGCCAGCAGCCGCGGUAAUACGAAGGGGGCUAGCGUUGCUCGGAAUGACUGGGCGUAAAGGGCGCGUAGGCGGUUUAUGCAGUCAGAUGUGAAAUCCCCGGGCUUAACCUGGGAACUGCAUUUGAGACGCAUAGACUAGAGGUCGAGAGAGGGUUGUGGAAUUCCCAGUGUAGAGGUGAAAUUCGUAGAUAUUUGGAGGAACACCGGUGGCGAAGGCGGCAAUCUGGUUCACAACUGACGCUGAGGCGCGAAAGCGUGGGGAGCAAACAGGAUUAGAUACCCGUGUAGUC